rnacentral:misc_RNA from 1 species
UCUCCGCAGGUGAACCUGCGGAAGGAUCAUUAUUGGAUUUUGAAACUUCAGGCUGCUGCUGGCUCUCCUCGGAGGGCAUGUGCACGCUUGUUGUCCAUUAUUUCUCCCACUGUGCACAAAUUGUAGACCUUUCAGUAGGCCUAUGUUGUUUUUCACAAUCUCUGAAUGUAAUAGAAUGGUUUUGAAUCUUGGGAAAUACAAUACAACUUUCAGCAACGGAUCUCUUGGCUCUC